rnacentral:rRNA from 1 species
AUGGUGAGGAUACUAGAAAAUAGAACUAAAUCUGAGAAAUGGGAAGGGACCAUUUGUCCUAAUGUAUUCAAAAAACUAAAGCAGAACAUUAAAAGAUCAGGAAAUUGUGAUGUGCUCUGGAAUGGAAAAGAGGGAUUUGAGGUUCUCGAACAUGAGAAGUUCAAGUUCACAGUGAACUUGGAAGCAUGGACAUGCUCAUGCAGAUACUGGCAGCUAUCUGGCAUUCCAUGUUGUCAUGCAAUAAGUGCUAUAUACAAAACAUGGAAAAGAAUAGAUGAUUACAUCGCAAAGUGCUACUCUAUUGAAGUAUACAAGAAAAUCUAUUCACAUUGUCUUGAGCCGUUGGAGGGGGAAGAAAGCUGGCCGACAUCAGAUCAAGUUAAACCUGCACCUCCAGGGUACAUGAGCUUGCCAGGCAGGCCAAAAACAGAGAGAAGAAGAGAGGAAGGAGAAGCACCAAAGGCAUGAAAGGGAAAUAAGAUGAGGAAGAUAGGUGGGACAAUAACAUGCAGUUCAUGCCAUAGGACAGGUCACAACAUGAAAGGAUGCAAAAAAAAUGAGGCUGGCAAGCACAACGGCAAUUCACACAUUGUGAGACAUGCGACAAAGAAGAGGAAACAAGACAAAGAUGCAAUGGAAGCAGAAAAUGCUAAGAAAGCAAAGGUAUGUUUCAUGUAG